rnacentral:rRNA from 1 species
UACGUAGGGGGCUAGCGUUGUCCGGAUUUAUUGGGCGUAAAGAGCGUGUAGGCGGCCAGGUAGGUCUGGUGUGAAAACUCGAGGCUUAACCUCGAGAUGUCAUCGGAAACCAUCUGGCUAGAGUCCGGAAGAGGAGAGUGGAAUUCCUGGUGUAGCGGUGAAAUGCGCAGAUAUCAGGAAAAACACCAAUGGCGAAAGCAGCUCUCUGGGACGGUACUGACGCUGAGACGCGAAAGCGUGGGGAGCGAACAGG